AUUUUAUGAUGUCACAUCUACAAUAAGAUACUAUGAGAGAGAAAAAGAGAGACUACAUCCACAUAACUCUAAGCCAGCCGUAUUCUCCACGCCUGAUUCUGCUGUCUCUGCUCCAGCCAUUAAAGAAACUGGAAAUUCGGGAGGAAGCUGAGUCUGCCUUUCAUAGGUUGUUUGAUCAUCCAAACACAGAGGAAGUUUAAUAACCUAUUAAGAGAUAAAUCUCUUAUCUAAACUGUUGAAAAUAUUUCACACACAGUGAAUUUUACCCUAGAACAAUGAUACAAUUUGCAAACUCUAAAAGGUCAAUGGUGAAUCAAUUUUCCGAGCCUUAUAAUUGCUUUUGUUUGGCGGCUUUACAAAGUAUGCUUUUUUUGUAGUAACGAUUUACAUAAUUGCUUUAGAUAUUUUCAUUGCUCUAUUUAGUUCUUAGUUUUCCCUUUGUUUUACCUUAUAAUUUUCCUUAAUAUCUUCUUGCAAAUAACACUAUCUGAUACUUACACUGGGAUCAAGUUAGCAAAUACUCAUUCUGUAUUUACUAUCUCCAAGAAACAACGUUUUUAGUCCAAAAAUAAAAGACAACAUUGUAGACUCUA